AGUGGAGAAGACAUUUGUGGUUCUUUUUUUGUGCAUCUGAGUUGUGAGUCUUUUUAGUGCAUUUGUGUUGUUUGUCUGUUUUGUGCAUAUGAGUUGUGGUUCUGGAUUGGUGAAAUUGGGUUUCUUUAGGGUUCAAAAGUUGGUGGGGUGGUUGGUUUAAAAUUUAGGUCCUGCUGCUACAUCUUUUUUCAUAUAUUUUUAUCAGCUUUAAUUUCUAUUUUGUGAUCCACCAACAUGCAAUUUAUUUUUUUUUAAAAAAUCCAGAAGUUUUCUCUAAGUAUUGAUAGAUUAAACUACUUAUAUAUAUAUAUAUAUAUAUAAAGCAUUCAUAGACUAUCUGCUAUGAGAUCUCAACACAAUAAGUUGUUCUGCUUUGUAUUUUUUUUAAAAUACAUUUUGCGGAUUAUAAGUUAUAUCUAGUCAAUCUUUUAGAAUAGAUCACUUAUGUGUUAGUUUUUUGAAAUCAGCAUUGCCUUCAAAUAGAGGUGAGGACCUACAGACAAAGUGAUUGCUCGAGCUUUAUGGUCUAAAGAAGACUGGCACUUAUUAUUGUUGUGGCUAUCAUGCUCUUUUUGGCAUUUCUUG